GGGGUUGUGGCUCAGUGGUAGAGCUCUCGUCUAGCAUGUGCGAGGCCCUGGGUUCAAUCCUCAGCACCACA
rnacentral:tRNA from 1 species